ensembl:lncRNA
CAUGAAUAAAGCAACUGGCUCUUCUGUCUCUCCGCCCUCCCCUCCCAGCCUCCUGUCUCCUUUCUUCCCUCUCUCCCUCGGUCUCUCUCUGCAACCCCUCCUGGUAACUGUCUCCAUCUCGGUGUCUGCAGCCCUGAGCGCCCAACCUUCCUCUCCCAGUCUGUCUCUCCCUCACCCCCUGGGACUCACAUUCCCUAAGUCCCAUGGGGGCAUUGGCUGUGCAGCUCUGCCAUCAUCUGCCUUUGCCUGAAGCCACAGGGCUAGGUGGGCUGGUCCCCCCACACCGUGGCUUCCGGCAGCCUGAGCAGAGCCCAGCUGACCAGGGCCUCUGAAGUCUCUGGACCUUGGGAGACAGUAGGGAGUGGAAAGAGCUUCCAGAGAAACGGAGGCCCAGCCCUGCAGGAAGAUGUCUCCUGGAUGCAGAGGUGGAGGCAGACCUGGAGGAAGGGCCUGCGAUCUGUGUGUGACCCAGCCUCUGGCCUGGAGCAGUGGAUCUCAGCUCGUGGCUCCGGGAGCACAGCGAGGCCGCUGCCUCCGGAAGCAAGGUCAAGUCGGGUUGCCCGGGCACGGCCGGGCGAAGCUCCCUCCCCAGCUGAUUCCCACGUGGAGCCGGGGUGGGGAACCCCCUAAGAAGGGCCUGGAAAAGAGCGGAAAGAUCCUCUGAACCCUAACUCGCCGCUGCCUUUUGGGGUGGUCUUGGGCCAUCUGGCCUCAUGAACCCUGUUUCUAUACAUCUGUGAAAUGGGCAUCCAGAUCCUACCUGCUCACACAGAUUGUCAGGCUCAGGCAGGGUGUCAGGUGGGAGGGGUUCUGCUGAUCACACAAUGACCCCAUUUUAUUAAGUAGGUAGGGAAUUAUGUGUAAGGGAGGUGGAAUUAACCUAUUGAGUAAGUAAAAAAGGAAGAACAGGGCCGGGGAUGUAGCUCAGCGGUUCCGGCACCUGCCUCGAAAGUGCAAGGUCCUGAGUUUGAUCCCCAGUACCAAAAAGAAAAGGGGGAAGAACAACAACUAAGCACAUGUUCAUCUUGCACAGGAUUGGAGACCCAUCUGUCUCAGGGUUAUCCAAAGCAAACUCUCCAGCAACCGAGAAAGAGCCCUUCAUGCAGUGACCAAGGAGCAGACCAACAUUUCGAACAAAUUUGCAAAUCUAGAGCACCCGGACUCCUGCCUCACCCGCACGCGUCUCACCCAUUCCCAUCUCUGCUCCCCCAGCGGCCCUGCCCCUCACCCACCAGUCACUGCUGUUUGUGGCCGGGGGACACUUCGUCCCCUCAGCCAGCCAGGUGGUGACCCUGUCGCC